rnacentral:rRNA from 1 species
GGCGAACGGGUGAGUAACACGUGAGUAAUCUGCCCUGUGCUCUGGGAUAGCCACCGGAAACGGUGAUUAAUACCGGAUAUGACCACUCCGCGCAUGUGGUGGUGGUGGAAAGUUUUUCGGCGCAGGAUGUGCUCGCGGCCUAUCAGCUUGUUGGUGAGGUAAUGGCUCACCAAGGCUUUGACGGGUAGCCGGCCUGAGAGGGUGACCGGUCACACUGGGACUGAGACACGGCCCAGACUCCUACGGGAGGCAGCAGUGGGGAAUAUUGGACAAUGGGCGGAAGCCUGAUCCAGCAACGCCGCGUGAGGGAUGACGGCCUUCGGGUUGUAAACCUCUUUCAGUACCGACGAAGCGUGAGUGACGGUAGGUACAGAAGAAGGACCGGCCAACUACGUGCCAGCAGCCGCGGUAAUACGUAGGGUCCGAGCGUUGUCCGGAAUUAUUGGGCGUAAAGGGCUCGUAGGCGGUUUGUCGCGUCGGGAGUGAAAACCAUGGGCUUAACUCAUGGCUUGCUUUCGAUACGGGCAGACUAGAGGUAUGCAGGGGAGAAUGGAAUUCCUGGUGUAGCGGUGAAAUGCGCAGAUAUCAGGAGGAACACCGGUGGCGAAGGCGGUUCUCUGGGCAUACUGACGCUA